AGUGAACGCUGGCGGUAGGCCUAAUACAUGCAAGUCGAACGGCAGCACAGUAAGAGCUUGCUCUUACGGGUGGCGAGUGGCGGACGGGUGAGGCAUACAUUGGAUUCUACUUUUUCGUGGGGGAUUACGUAGGGACACUUCCGCUAAUACCUCAUACGACCUACGGGUUAAAGCAGUGGAUCUUCGGACCUUUCGUGAUUGUUUUAGCUGAUGUCGGAUUAGCUAGUUGGCGAGGUAAAGGCCCACCAAGGCGACGAUCCGUAGCUGGUCUGAGAGGAUGAUCAGCCACACUGGAACUGAGACACGGUCCAGACUCCUACGGGAGGCAGCAGUGGGGAAUAUUGGACAAUGGGCGCAAGCCUGAUCCAGCCAUACCGCGUGAGUGAAGAAGGCCUUCGGGUUGUAAAGCCCUUUUAUUGGGAAAGAAAAGCAGCAGGUUAAUACCCCGCUGUUCUGACGGUACCCAAAGAAUAAGCACCGGCUAACUUCGUG
rnacentral:rRNA from 1 species